CUCAAGUAUUUUUGGGAAGUGUUUACGCUCGUGACAUCAUGCUAGGUUCUGCCAUAGGCUUGCCUAUCUUCUAUUGUCUCUCCCUUUAGUCAAAGUUCUAGGUGCAUCUCAUUAGGUCUUUCAUGGGUUGUAACGUGGCUUAAGGCAUAAGGUGAGAAUUUUUGGUACGAGGCUAAGGUCAUUCUGAACUUCAUUCUGGGCAAUAGACUUCCCAGAUUUUUUAAGAUCCUUGCUUAUUCUUGCGGGCCUAAGCACAUACUAACCAAGACAUUACUCUUUUUUUUAUUUUAUUUUCUUUUUCCCUUUUUUUCUGGACUUUUUCUUUAUUUUGGGAUUAGAUGUCCCAUUUUACAAUUUUUGCACUAAUCCUGCCCAUAGGAUUCACUACACUAUCUCCCUUUUUUUUGCCCUCAAGUUCAGUUUGACCGGGACGGCUCAAAUCUAGGCAAAUUUAUAAGUGAAUUCAAAUGAAUUAUUAAGCUCAAAAGGGCUCACAAGUGAUAGAUGUAGGGUUAGUCAGUUUGGCUUUGUGGGCUAAAGAAAGAAUUGCCUAAAUCAUUUAACACACCUAGACUAUGUACACUGGGUUCGACUAAGAAUCAAGGCA
rnacentral:lncRNA from 1 species